rnacentral:rRNA from 1 species
GAUGAACGCUGGCGGCGUGCCUAAUACAUGCAAGUCGAGCGAACAGACGAGGAGCUUGCUCCUCUGACGUUAGCGGCGGACGGGUGAGUAACACGUGGAUAACCUACCUAUAAGACUGGGAUAACUUCGGGAAACCGGAGCUAAUACCGGAUAACAUGUUGAACCGCUUGGUUCAACAGUGAAAGACGGUUUUGCUGUCACUUAUAGAUGGAUCCGCGUCGCAUUAGCUAGUUGGUAAGGUAACGGCUUACCAAGGCAACGAUGCGUAGCCGACCUGAGAGGGUGAUCGGCCACACUGGAACUGAGACACGGUCCAGACUCCUACGGGAGGCAGCAGUAGGGAAUCUUCCGCAAUGGGCGAAAGCCUGACGGAGCAACGCCGCGUGAGUGAAGAAGGUCUUCGGAUCGUAAAACUCUGUUAUUAGGGAAGAACAAAUGUGUAAGUAACUAUGCACGUCUUGACGGUACCUAAUCAGAAAGCCACGGCUAACUACGUG